AGUACCGUGAGGGAAAGGUGAAAAGUACCCCGGUGAGGGGAGUGAAAUAGUACCUGAAACCGUCAACUUACAAGCAGUAGGAGGGAUCUUCGGAUCCUGACUGCCUGCCUUUUGAAGAAUGAGCCGACGAGUUAUCGAUACGUGGCGAGGUUAAGCCGAGAGGUGUAGCCGCAGCGAAAGCGAGUCUGAAUAGGGCGUCUAGUCGCGUGUCAUAGACCCGAAGCCGAGUGAUCUAUCCAUGGGCAGGGUGAAGCGAGGGUAAGACCUCGUGGAGGCCCGAACCCACCUAGGUUGAAAACUGGGGGGAUGACCUGUGGAUAGGGGUGAAAGGCCAAACAAACUCGGCGAUAGCUGGUUCUCCCCGAAAUAGCUUUAGGGCUAGCGUCGUGUGUUCCGCAUUGGGGGUAGAGCACUGAUUGGGCUAGGGGGCCAACAAGCUUACCGACCCCAGUCAAACUCCGAAUCCCAAGGCGCCAAGCACGGCAGUCAGACCAUGGGGGAUAAGCUUCAUGGUCAAAAGGGAAACAGCCCAGACCGCCAGCUAAGGUCCCAAAGUCAGAACUAAGUGGGGAACGAUGUGGAGUUGCCCAAACAGCCAGGAGGUUGGCUUAGAAGCAGCCACCCUUUAAAGAGUGCGUAACAGCUCACUGGUCGAGUGAUCCCGCGCGGAUAAUGUAACGGGGCUCAAGUUCUGCACCGAAGCUGCGGGUUUCUGCCGUAACCCAGGCGUCUUGCCUACGGGCACUGCGUCCAGGGGGUAGGAGCGGUAGGGGAGCGUCGAGCGGCCAGCGAAGCGGCGGCGGAAGCCAGUCGUGGAGGCCGCUCGAGUGAGAAUGUCGGCAUGAGUAGCGAAUGAAGAGUGAGAAUCUCUUCCGCCGGAUGUCCAAGGGUUCCUGGGGAAGGCUCGUCCGCCCAGGGUUAGUCGGGACCUAAGGUGAGGCCGAGAGGCGUAAUCGAUGGACAACGGGUUGAUAUUCCCGUACCACCAUACGCGCGUCCAGACCGAACCCAGUUUGCUAAGGAAAGCCCUACGGGGCCUACCGACCCAGCUGGUAGUAGGUCAGCGAUGGAGUGACGCGGAAGGGUAAGCGGACCCGGGCGUUGGUUGUACCCGGGGCAAGCAUGUAGGGCGAGAUCCAGGCAAAUCCGGAUCUCACGAAGCCCGAGGUGCGAUACCGAGCCGCAAAAGGCGAAGCCGCUGAACGCCCAUGCCGCCGAGAAAAGCCUCUAGCGAGUUCAUAUGGUGCCCGUACCCCAAACCGACACAGGUGGACAGGUAGAGAAUACCAAGGCGAGCGAGAUAACUCUGGUUAAGGAAUUCGGCAAAAUGGUUCCGUAACUUCGGGAGAAGGAACGCCCCGGUAGGGUGAAGGACUUCGCGUCCGGAGCCCGAGGGGGUCGCAGAGACCAGGCCCAAGCGACUGUUUACUAAAAACACAGGAGCGUGCUAAGUCGCAAGACGCUGUAUACGCUCUGACGCCUGCCCGGUGCCGGAAGGUUAAGAGGAUGGGUUAGCUUCGGCGAAGCUCUGAAUCGAAGCCCCGGUAAACGGCGGCGGUAACUAUAACCGUCCUAAGGUAGCGAAAUUCCUUGUCGGGUAAGUUCCGACCUGCACGAAUGGCGUAACGACUUGGGCGCUGUCUCAGUAAAGAUGCUCACUACUCGCGACAGGACGGAAAGACCCCGGGACCUUUACUGCAGCUUGACAUUGGAGUUCGUUAUGUGAUGUGUAGGAUAGGUGGGAGGCUUUGAAGCGGCGGCGCUAGCCGUCGUGGAGCCAUCGUUGAAAUACCACCCUUCUCAUAAUGGGCCUCUAACCUCGGUCCGUUAUCCGGAUCAGGAACAGUGUCUGGCGGGCAGUUUCACUGGGGUGGUGGCCUCCUAAAGUGUAACGGAGGCGCCCAAAGGUUCCCUCAGCCUGGUCGGCAAUCAGGCGUUGAGUGUAAGGGCACAAGGGAGCUUGACUGCGACACCUACAAGUGGAGCAGGUACGAAAGUAGGGCCUAAUGAUCCCUCGGCGGCAUGUGGAUGCGCCGAGGCCAACGGCUAAAAGGUACCCCGGGGAUAACAGGCUCAUCCCGCCCAAGAGUCCAUAUCGACGGCGGGGGUUGGCACCUCGAUGUCGGCUCGUCUCAUCCUGGGGCUGNNNNNNNNNNNNNNNNNNNNNNNNNNNNNNNNNNNGUUAAAGAGGCACGCGAGCUGGGUUUAGAACGUCGUGAGACAGUUCGGUCCCUAUCCGUCGCGGGCGCAGGAGAUUUGAGGAGAUCUGUCCCUAGUACGAGAGGACCGGGAUGGACGGACCUCUGGUGUGCCAGUUGUUCUGCCAAGAGCACGGCUGGUUAGCUACGUCCGGAACGGAUAAGCGCUGAAAGCAUCUAAGCGCGAAGCCGACUCCAAGAUGAGAUCUCCCACCGGUUUACCGGGUAAGACCCCUGGUCAGAACACCAGGUUGAUAGGCCAGAAGUGGAAGCGCAGUAAUGCGUGAAGCUGACUGGUACUAAUAGGUCGAGGGCUUGGAUUUGA
rnacentral:rRNA from 1 species